CCUACGGGGGACAGCAGUGGGGAAUAUUGCACAAUGGGGGAAACCCUGAUGCAGCGACGCCGCGUGAGUGAAGAAGUAAUUCGUUACGUAAAGCUCUAUCAGCAGGGAAGAAAAUGACGGUACCUGAGUAAGAAGCCCUGGCUAACUACGUGCCAGCAGCCGCGGUAUAACGUGGGGGGCAAGCGUUAUCCGGAUUUACUGGGAGGAAAGGGAGCGGAGACGGUGGGCCAAGUCUGGCGUGAAAUGCCGCAGCUUAAUGGCGGAACUGCUUUGGAAACUGGCGAACUGGAGUGCGGGAGGGGUAAGCGGAAUUCCUAGUGUAGCGGUGAAAUGCGUAGAUAUUAGGAGGAACACCGGUGGCGAAGGCGGCUUACUGGACCAUAACUGACGUUGAGGCUCGAAAGCGUGGGGAGCAAACAGGAUUAGAUACCCCAGUAGUC
rnacentral:rRNA from 1 species